UCGCUGUAGCAAAGCUCGGCCUCUGGAAUUCUGAGAACUAAUUUGCUAUUUGGUGACAUAAGAGGGGGAGUGCGCUUUGCUUUCCCGGGGUCUGGGGUUAAUUCCUCCUCUCUUCCCCAUAAACUCAGCUCCUCGAGCUCAAAACACAAAAGGGAGCGAGAGGUUCGAAUCUUUAGGGGAAAGUCUGUUAUAUACAGUACGUUUCGAGGCGAGUAAGAGAAAAAACAAUAAACACCACAGCUUUUUCCAGCUAGAAUAUUAGGCACCACAAGAAAAAUAUUUGACAAGCAGUUCUCGCUCUUGACUCUACAACAAACACAGAGCGAAUCCCAUGAAUGUCACGGCAGUGGAUUAGGAGCAAGCUGGUCUUGCUAAAGAGGAAAGAAAACCUGAGCAUGGGUGCUGGAGAGAAGAUGGAACACUGAAGCACAGAACGUAACUGACCUAAGGUCAAAGAGCUAACAAACAGAAGUGGGAAUUUGAACCCAGCCAGAAAGAUGAGGAGACUGGGACCCGGGAUGGAAAGGCACCAGCUGGGCUAGUGAGCUGCAGCAUGAAGUUCAAGAUGCAGUCGUUUAACUUCAGAGUGGUGCCUUUUCCCAUGCUGUGGUGUUAAUAAAUACAUUCAUUGCUCCCUGUUCUGAGCAAGACCCUGAGCAAGCCCUUCCGCAUAUGCCCUAAUGCCAUCCUUGCAAUGGCCCUGAGAGAGGUAAAGUACUUUCCCAUCUGUCACCUCCCUGGAUCCUCACGACCACCCCAGGAGAACGCAAGCCGGUGAUGUUAUCCUUCUUUGACAGAUGAGCAAGCAAAGGAUUAGAGAGGGUGAGAACAGUGAUGUUCAGACAGGAAGGUGAUGGGUCCAGGGUCACAUGGCUGGUAAGCUGGAAGAGCAGGAUUGGAGGCCAUGCCUAUUUGCCUUGGAGUCCAGUGUUCACCCCUGCAUACCCGCUGCCUUCCUGAGCAGCUCUGUCUUACAAGGUUAUGCAUCCCCAUAGUACAAGUAAAUGUCCUGAACCCUGCCCCCCUACCCAUGGGUGAUGCCCCUCCAGCUUGGUGUGUUAGUAAAUGACUAAAGUUAGAGUGCAGAAUGUGGACUCUGCAACCAAAUUGCCUGGGUUUGAUUCAUGACCCUGCCACUUAUUAGCUUUGUGACUUUGGGUCAUGGAACUUCCGUAAGCCCCAGUUUCCUCAUCUACGAAAUGGAAACAAUGACAUACUUAUCCCCAGGGAACUUGGAUUAAGUAAUAGAAUACAUGUAAAUCACCUAGCACAAAGUCUGACAUGUAUAGUAGCUGUUCAAUAAGCAUAAAAUGUAAUUGAUAAAUGGCUGACUUUUUAAAAACCCUGGAGCUGUUUUGAAACAUACUGUCCAAUGCUUCGAAGUUCUUUUCUGGAACAUGUCCAGGUGAGGAAGCCAAUAGGUAAAUCUAGACCUGACAUGUUUUAGAGUUUCAGCAACAUGUUCUGUAUCAAUUGGGGUUCAGCUAAGAAAGGGAAAUAUCACAAGCUAUAUGGAAUUAUAGGAAUUAGAUCUUAUACCACUGAUAGAAGACCAAGGGUGUAUUGUGAUUAUAAGUCCUAAAAACUUCUCUGAAAUACCAAUGAAAAUUAAAAGGUAUGAAUAGCAAAUAUAUCUGUGUACAUGGAGAAAAAACACUGAAAGGAAACUCACCACCAUGCUCACUGUGAUAUUUCUGAGUGAUGGGGUAAUGAGAGAUUUUAUUUUUACUUUCAUUUACUUGCUUUCUAAUUUUGUACACAAAUAGGUAUUCAAGUCAGAAAUUUAGUGUUAAGAUUCAUUCAUUUUUUUCUUUCUUUAUCUAACAUCUUUUUUUUUCUCUUAACCCUCCUCCACAAGACAAUAUCUUGUAAACAUUUAUGAUUAUGAAGCUAAUUAUGGGGAAUAGAUAAGGUGGAAGGGGUUAGAAUGGAUAUAGGAUUGGGAUGCAGAGUAGAUGGUCACUGGAUUUAAGUCAGGAAGUAAUCCUCUAGAUUCUGAGAGUCAUGAACAGAAGGUAUCAUAUCCAAGUGAGAGCUUAAACAAGAAAUAUCCAGCAUGGUGGUGCCAUGGAACAGGCAUUCAACUGGGGUGUCGGGGUGUCAGGGCUGGAGGCCUGGCCCAUCUCAGGAACUGACUGGGUCUCACUCUCCGGUGACUCCCUUUCCUCCUCUCUAAAGUGAGAGCCCUCCACACGAGGGAUUUCCUUUCAUAUCUGUGCAUUUCAUUUGCUGAAGCCUAAGAUCAUUGGCAGAGGGAAG